GACGAACGCUGGCGGCGUGCCUAAUACAUGCAAGUUGAGCGCUGAAGGUUGGUACUUGUACCAACUGGAUGAGCAGCGAACGGGUGAGUACCGCGUGGGGAAUCUGCCUUUGAGCGGGGGACAACAUUUGGAAACGAAUGCUAAUACCGCAUAAAAACUUUAAACACAAGUUUUAAGUUUGAAAGAUGCAAUUGCAUCACUCAAAGAUGAUCCCGCGUUGUAUUAGCUAGUUGGUGAGGUAAAGGCUCACCAAGGCGAUGAUACAUAGCCGACCUGAGAGGGUGAUCGGCCACAUUGGGACUGAGACACGGCCCAAACUCCUACGGGAGGCAGCAGUAGGGAAUCUUCGGCAAGGGACGAAAGUCUGACCGAGCAACGCCGCGUGAGUGAAGAAGGUUUUCGGAUCGUAAAACUCUGUUGGUAGAGAAGAACGUUGGUGAGAGUGGAAAGCUCAUCAAGUGACGGUAACUACCCAGAAAGGGACGGCUAACUACGUG
rnacentral:rRNA from 1 species